rnacentral:lncRNA from 1 species
CAGGGUCUGAAAUUAUUGUCCAGAUACAAUUUAAAUUAUUCCCAUAUCCUUCUGGAUAAUCGGGUGAAAGUACAGUUCCCAUUGGUGCAGUGAAAUUGGAAAGGCAAGGAAAAAUACAAAUUGGUAUGUUUGCAGACCACUGAUUGUUUUCUUGGCAAAUUAUAGAUUUCUCUCCAAUUAAUUCAAAUCCAAAAUGACACUCAAAUCUUAAAACAUCUCGAUUGGAAAAUCCAUCUCCUUCUCUGAUGCCAUACAACGGUGUUCCAGGAUCACCACAGCUUUCCUUUUCAAUUUCUUUGUAAUUAACCUUGAAACCAAC